UACGUAGGGUGCGAGCGUUGUCCGGAAUUAUUGGGCGUAAAGAGCUUGUAGGCGGUUUGUCGCGUCUGCUGUGAAAAUCCGGGGGCUCAACCCCGGACUUGCAGUGGGUACGGGCAGACUAGAGUGUGGUAGGGGGAGACUGGAAUUCCUGGUGUAGCGGUGAAAUGCGCAGAUAUCAGGAGGAACACCGAUGGCGAAGGCAGGUCUCUGGGCCACUACUGACGCUGAGAAGCGAAAGCAUGGGGAGCGAACAGG
rnacentral:rRNA from 1 species